rnacentral:rRNA from 1 species
GAUGAACGCUGGCGGCGUGCCUAAUACAUGCAAGUCGAGCGAACGGACGAGAAGUUUGCUUCUCUGACGUUAGCGGCGGGGGGGUGAGUCACACGUGUAUACCCCCCUUAUCUGUCUGGGAUAUCUUCGAGAAACCGGCGCUAAUACCGGAUAAUAUUUUGAACCGUGUGGUGCAUAAGUGAAAGACGGUCUUGGUGUCUCUUCUAGCUGGUUCCGCGCUGCAUUAGCUAGUUGGUACGGUAACGGCUUACCAAGGCAACGAUGCAUAGCCGACCUGAGGGGGUGAUCGGCCACACUGGAACUGAGACACGGUCCAGGCUCCUACGGGAGGCAGCAGUAGGGAAUCUUCGGCAAUGGGGGGAAGCCUGACGGAGCGGCGCCGCGUGAGUGAUGAAGAUCUUCGGAGCGUAAAACUCUGUUAUUAGGGAAGAACAUAUGUGUAAGUAGCUGUACAGAGCGUGACGGUACCGAGUCAAAAAGCCACGGCUAACUACGUG